UGUUUGUCACUUAAAUAUAUGUACAGGAGUCGGGCUCGUCUCUCCAUGUGCCUUCAGAUCUCUGCUGUUUGGUCACUCUGGGCUGGUGCUAGGGACCUGGCA